UUCCCAAGCAUUUCUAUCAAAGUAGAAAGACGCAGAGAACGAGGGCUGAGAUUUAUUCUUUAAAGCAGAGCUUUGAUGUAUUGAUCAAACCCUUCUAUUUUCCCACCCCUUGCUAUGCUUCUGAAUUCUAUGGUUCUUGGGUCAGGAGUGACUGAAGGUGAUAUUCUGAUGAAGACCUGACAAAGUUUAGGGGUUAUCUAAUGAUGUAUAUUUUUAGCUUCUUGGUUUAAGUCUUAAUUUCCAAACAAACAAACAAACAAACAAACAAACAAAUGGAGGUUAAAGUGUUGUGGAAGAAAAUGGGACAACCCAGGAUUUUAAAGCUUGAUAUCCAGGUGGUUCUGAGGACUAUUCAAUCAUGUACGUGUAAUAAAUAAUGAAUAAUAGUAGCUACAAUGUCCUUAGCCCUUAUUAUGUUCUAAACUCUAUGUUAGUGGCAAGUAAUUUAUUUAUUCCUUACAAAAUCUCUUCCAGGGCAGCAAGGUGCUUUUAUUGCCCCCAUCUCACAGAGAGACCUGAGUCUUUGAAGGACAAAGGGAGGGGCCUGACAUCACAAUGCCAGUGAAUGGCAGAGCUGGGACUGGAACCCAGCUCCCUCUGUCUGCACAGCCCAAGCUAUUGGCCCACCACAGGAGCCUGCCUCCAUAGCAAUGAAAAAUAAUUGGAGUAUUUAAGAAUCAGAGUUUUACUGGUGCUCCCAUUAUGAAGAAAAAAUCAUCACUUACUAUAAGGAAGAGUUCCUGCCUUGAUUAAAGUUGGCAGUUCCUGUGACCCCCAGGAGAGAAGGCUGUGGGCUGAUUAUUAGAGCAUUUUAGUGUGUGGGUUUGCCUGGAAGCAAUAGCCAGCAAAGGCUGGAAGAUGGGAAUAACGAUAAAGCAUGCUCAGCUUGUAGAGCUCUGAGCUGAACAGCAUUACUCUCGACCAGAUUUCAUUUCUUGUUAAUUAUAUCCGAUUCCACUUGAGUAUGGAUUUCAUUGAAUUUAAAAUGUUGGGAGUGGGGGUCACUGCUCCAUGCUAUUCAUCAGAAACAUCAAUAAAAAGAGCACCCCAGAAA